AUUGAACGCUGGCGGCAUGCCUUACACAUGCAAGUCGAACGGCAGCACGGGAGCAAUCCUGGUGGCGAGUGGCGAACGGGUGAGUAAAGUAUCGGAACGUGCCCAGUCGUGGGGGAUAACGUAGCGAAAGUUACGCUAAUACCGCAUACGAUCUAUGGAUGAAAGCGAGGGAUCGCAAGACCUCGCGCGAUUGGAGCGGCCGAUAUCAGAUUAGGUAGUUGGGGGGGUAAAGGCGCACCAAGCCGACGAUCUGUAGCUGGUCUGAGAGGACGACCGGCAACACCGGGACUGGGACCCGGCCCAGACUCCUACGGGAGGCAGCAGUGGGGAAUUUUGGACAAUGGGCGAAAGCCUGAUCCAGCCAUGCCGCGUGCAGGAUGAAGGCCUUCGGGUUGUAAACUGCUUUUGUACGGAACGAAAAGGUUUGGCCUAAUAAGCUGAGCUCAUGACGGUACCGUAAGAAUAAGCACCGGCUAACUACGUGCCAGCCGCCGCCGUAA
rnacentral:rRNA from 1 species